UCAAGCUGAUGGAAUUUAUUCAAGGCAAUGAAAUUGCAAAGAAUGUUGAAGUGCUGGAUAGAUUCUUUUUUUUUUUUUUUUGCUUUGCAAGUUAGAACCUUGUGCUGCAAAAAAAAAAAAAAAUCAGUUUAGAUUAAUGUCAGCCACCCUAGUGUAAUAAUUUAUUAUUCUUUACAAGCAUUCAUUUGUUUAAAGAAGCAAAACCUGAUGACAACAUUCUUGAUUAAUCUCAGUUUCAUCUUGAGAGCAGUGAUCAUGUAAAGGACACACAGUCGCACUUGUCUCAGAUCAACAGCGCUGGUGACAGUUUCAUUUGGAUGGCAGAGAAUGGCUGAAGGACAUUUUAUUACCAGCCUCCAAUCAUCUUUAGCAAAGCUUGCUCCAAAUUUCAGACAAUUAUUUACUCUCGGCAAGGACAGAAAUUCCAUGAUUUGAUCUUCGUUUGGAUUUCUGUCAAAAUACAGAAUCAGGAAAACAAACAAACAAACAAACAAACAAACCUGGCCACAAAAAAAAAAAAAAAAAUCUCAGCCCCAAGAAGUAACUCCAGAAGAGGAAAUCUCCUUAAUAAAUUCAAGAAUCCACUAACUUGCAGACAUUCCCCCCCCCUAAUUCAUUGCCAAUACUUUUUAUUAAUCAAAGUCUAUGGAUGGUGACUGCAGUGUGUGACUUUUGUGACAAUAGAACAUCUUCAUGGCCUCGUGGUAUCAGUUUCAUUUGCCUCUUCCCACUUCCAAUGCCUUUUUAAUUUAAAUUAGCUUAUCUUCCCACUCCAUUUGCAUUUGCAGUGAAAUGAAAUGCACGCGAGGAUCAAUGUUGAGUCAGCAAGAAGUGUGCAAAAUACUAACAAACAGUGAGUAUGCAAAACGAGCUGCAAGAACACUACAUAAGGGAGUGCAAAAGUGGGCUUGAAGCUCAACAUCAAGAAAACCAAGAUCAUGGCAUCCAUCCCUCUCAAUUCCUGGCAAAUAGAUGGGGAAGAAAUGGAGGUAGUGAUAGAUUUUAUCUUCCUGGGCUCCAAGAUCACCACAGAUGGGGAC